CAGCCGCAAAUGAUGGGCAGUGGUCGGAUGGAAGGUAGUAGAUUGAAAAACAAAACAAGAAAAGCACAAUGCUAUCCAAACAUAGCCUAAUAGCAAACGUAAGUUUUUUUCGUUGCUCACAAAUCAGAAUAUGUAAAGCCCAAUUUUUGUUCCUCCCUUUCUCUAUUCCAUCCGUUACGAAAUUCCUCCGGCAACGUAGUCCCACUCUCGCUAGCUCAUCAAUUGUCGGUUAUCAAAUGGCAACAAUGAUUAUUAUCGUCAUCAAGAGGCUUAUUAAUAUCCUCAUCAUCUACAACGGAAGUGAACAAAUUGAGCAAAGUUUUUAUAAGAGAUUAGUUUCUAGAUUAUCUUGAUCAAUUUAUAAAUUUUGAUUUGAUUUUGAUUUUGAUUUUAGUAAUUGGUUCGAUUUAUAAAUUUCUCAAAGUGGAUUACCUGGUUUUUCCUUGCGAAGGCACGAGCUUCACGUGUGGGGUUAGGAAGUACGCGGAGGACCUCGGAAGGGUGCUGCCGCAGCUGAGGAUAAUUUCUAAAUAUGUAAAGCCCUAAAUCUUUGUUCCUUCCCUUCUCCGUUCCAUCCGUUAUGAAAUUUCUCCGGCAACGCAUUCCCACUCUCUCUAGCUCAUCAAUUGUCGGUUAUCAAAUGACAACGAUGAUUAUUAUCGUCAUCAAGAGGCUUAUUAAUAUCCUCAUCGUCCACAACAGAAGUGAACAAAUUGAGCAAGGUUUUUAUAAGAGAUUAAUUUCUGGCACGAGCUUCACGCGCAGGGUUAGGAAGUACGCGGAGGACCUCGGAAGGGUGAUGUCGCAGCUGAGGAUAAUUUCUGGAUGAAUAUGAAAGGGCAAAUAAAGUGAGAGAGUGGUUCUAUCAAAGUGAUGCAGAUCAUCAGGAUAAGCUAUUAGCUUGCGGGGCCAUUAGAGUGGCACAUCUUCGCAUGAAAGUGUUGGAGGAAACAAAAUUCACAUGUUCAGCUGGCAUUCAGCACAAUAAGAUGUUAGCAAGACUAGCAAGCACAAUGAAUAAAUCUGCACAGCAAACAGUUGUACCAUUUUCAUCAGUAAAGAAUAUGCUACCUACCUUUCCUGUGAAGAAAAUAAGGAUUUGAGGAUGUUAAAGGAACUAAUUGGGGCUACUCUGGGUUCUGCCAGACUGUGGUGGAUAGCAAGUGGUUUUGAGGAGAUUGAGGGUUUCAAUUGAAGGACACUGCUGAUUUCUUCAUCAUUCCCUGCUCAUCCAGCUUAGUCUAUAUUCCUAUUGAUUUGAGAGCUCCAAUACAAACACCGGUCGUGCUCGCAAAGACAACAAGGACAUAAAAAGUACCAAUAAAAAAUAAGCCACCAGAGGAAUACAAAAAUGUUAAUCUGGAAUCUUAAUAGAUAUUGGUGAUCUUUGCAUAUGACCAAUGAUUUAAGGUGAUCUCCCUUAUGCUAAGAAUCAUUCAUCAUACAAUAAUUACUUCUAUUAACCGGCAAUCAUGCUAAUUAUUGCUGUCAAUUAUGUACAACAUACAAUUUGAUAAAACAGCUCCUUCAUCUCCAUGCA